rfam:Callithrix jacchus chromosome 20, whole genome shotgun sequence
AGCUUUGUGCAGUGGCCGUAUCAUAGCUGAUGAGGUUUAACUGAGGUGUGAUACAGCUAAUUGAAAACUUUUCCCUAUACCCCACUAUGACAACUUGAAAUAUAGUCGGCAUUGGGAAUUUUUGACUGACAGCCUCUACGGAGACUGA